CAUUGAUUGACAGAAAAAGUGACCAAUCAAAAUAAAACAGCGUGACGUCAAAAGGAGGUGGACGCACGUCAAAAACUACACUCUUCUAAGGGUGCCACGCCCUCUAAGGCGGCCUUGACAGUCAUUGGUCUUCCUUUCCAAAAAAGCUGAUGGAGGUCAUGACAACAGGUUUUUUUAAGGAAUUUAAGGCAUGUUUUAUCUUUUCUUCCAGUUCUAUCUCCUACAUUCACCCUGUCACUGAGAUAAAUCUGUUGCCAUGGUCACAGCAGUCAUAUUUAUUUCCCUGAACCAGUUUCUGAUUGGUUUGGAAGUGGUUUUACAGUUCUUGCUCCGCCUGCUGGCUGUACAAAUCAACUUCACUUAAAUCAAGUAACUCUUUAUUUCUCAUUUCAUUCAGUUUUUGUCCACCAUGAUCCCAUUUUAUCAUAACACUGAGGUAAAAAAGUAAGAUGGAUUGCAAUCGAUGUGAUUGUGGAUCAGCAGAAACAUCAUCAAAGAGGAGUGUAUUCAUCUCCAGGUGAAAAAUGAAAGAUUUGCUUGGUUAGAAUCAGGCCUUUUGUUUUGCAGGAAUAGCAACCUUUCGGAAACACUGCAAAUGUGCUCCCAACUAACUCCAGAAAUGUCUGAAAGACAGCUGUUAACCCACAUUUUAAUUAGGGAGAGGUUAAAAAGAAAGUGGGUCAUGGAGUGAGGCAAAAAAUAGAAGAAAAAAAA